rnacentral:tmRNA from 1 species
GUCGGCUUCGGCCGACUAUGAGGAUAAAUGGUGUCGUGGAAUAGACACAGCGGACCCGGGGGCAGUACCCGGCGGCUCCACCA